CACGCCCUAAACGAUGUCAACUAGGUGUUGGGAGGGUAAAACCUUUUAGUACCGUAGCUAACGCGAGAAGUUGACCGCCUGGGGAGUACGGCCGCAAGGUUAAAACUCAAAGGAAUUGACGGGGACCCGCACAAGCGGUGGAUGAUGUGGAUUAAUUCGAUGCAACGCGAAAAACCUUACCUACCCUUGACAUGUCAGGAACUUGCCAGAGAUGGCUUGGUGCUCGAAAGAGAACCUGAACACAGGUGC
rnacentral:rRNA from 1 species